rnacentral:rRNA from 1 species
GACGAACGCUGGCGGCGUGCCUAAUACAUGCAAGUUGAGCGCUGAAGGUUGGUACUUGUACCAACUGGAUGAGCAGCGAACGGGUAAGUAACGCGUGGGGAAUCUGCCUUUGAGCGGGGGACAACAUUUGGAAACGAAUGCUAAUACCGCAUAAAAACUUUAAACACAAGUUUUAAGUUUGAAAGAUGCAAUUGCAUCACUCAAAGAUGAUCCCGCGUUGUAUUAGCUAGUUGGUGAGGUAAAGGCUCACCAAGGCGAUGAUACAUAGCCGACCUGAGAGGGUGAUCGGCCACAUUGGGACUGAGACACGGCCCAAACUCCUACGGGAGGCAGCAGUAGGGAAUCUUCGGCAAUGGACGAAAGUCUGACCGAGCAACGCCGCGUGAGUGAAGAAGGUUUUCGGAUCGUAAAACUCUGUUGGUAGAGAAGAACGUUGGUGAGAGUGGAAAGCUCAUCAAGUGACGGUAACUACCCAGAAAGGGACGGCUAACUACGUG